UACGAAGGACCCGAGCGUUAUCCGGAUUUAUUGGGUUUAAGGGGUGCGUAGGCGUCCUGGUAAGUUACGGUUGAAAUCUCCUUGCUCAACAAGGAAACUGGCCGUAAAACUAUCAGGAUUGAGUACAUUUGAAGCGGGCGGAAUGUGUCAUGUAGCGGUGAAAUGCUUAGAUAUGACACAGAACACCAAUUGCGAAGGCAGCUCGCUAAACUGUAACUGACGCUGAGGCACGAAAGCGUGGGGAUCAAACAGG
rnacentral:rRNA from 1 species